GCACUGCUGACGAGUCCCAAACACAACGAAACAGCUGUCCAGUAA
rnacentral:hammerhead_ribozyme from 1 species